rnacentral:rRNA from 1 species
UUCGGUCUUUAGUGCGAUGUGGAACCACUACUAUCCAUUCCGAACAGAUAAGUGAAACACAUCAGCGCUGACGAUAGUUGACUCGCAAGGGUCCGCGAAAAUAGGUCAAGGCCGGAG